GGACCAUUCACAUUUGGUUUCCUCUCCAGUUGGUGGAGGAUGGUCCCCAUGACGUUAAACAUCAAACUCAUCAUUUCAAUACAUUUGCAUUCCAUUUAGAAAAUAGAAGUAUCUUAUCCAAAAAAAAAGUAAGAAAUGAGUGAAUGAAAUGUGAUGCAAAAACAAAAAAGAAUAUAUGUGCACUACUCAAUAAAUGAAGUGGGCCAUAAACUUUUUGAAAGCACUGAAACAUGUCACUGCCUUGGAGGAAGAAACAAAGAAGCAUAUGUGAACUUGUCCCCAGUACCAAUAACAGUAAGCAUUUCAAGAAAAUAUCACCACCACACCAUAUACUUGGCUAUGCUACAAUGCAAACUACCACUUCACUAUUACCCUUCUGUUUUCGUCAAUUCUGAGUUUUGAGUGCAUACCUCAAACCACUUCCCUCACUCUUUCAUACUUUGAUCUUGUGAACAUGGCUGCUGAACUUGUUGGAGGAGCUUUUCUCUCUUCUUUUCUCAAUGUCCUUUUCGACAGGCUGUCUGAUCCUGAUUUCAUCAACAUGAUGAGAGGAAAGAAGGUUGACCAGAAGCUGCUUCAAAGGCUGAAGACCAUUCUGAAUGUGGUUGAAGCUGUGCUGAAUGAUGCUGAGAAGAAACAGAUCACUGACCCUGCUGUCAAGAGGUGGCUCGAAGAUCUCCAAGAUGCUGUCUAUGAAGCUGAUGACUUGUUGGAUGAAGUUGCUACCAAAGCUGCCACUCAGAAGGAUCCACCAGGUAACUUCCUGUCUCACUUUCUCAAUUCGCAAGAUAGGGAGAUGGUUACUAGGAUUGAAGACAUCAUUGCUAGACUAGAAGAUAUUGCAAAACACAAAGAUAUCCUUCGACUAGAAAAGAUUGCAGCCAAGAACAUGUCUGGGAGGAUUCCAUCAACCUCGCUGGUUAAAAAAUCUGAUAUAUUUGUUGGAAGGGACAAAGAAAGGGAUGCCAUAGUGAAUUUGCUUUUAGAUGAUGCUUACAAUGGUGAACUGUCCGUGAUUCCCAUCAUGGGCAUGGGUGGGAUAGGAAAAACUACUUUGGCUAAAUUGGUUUAUAAUGAUGACAAAGUGCAGCAGAAGUUUAAUGUGAAGGCAUGGGUUUGUGUUGGUGAGGAGGAAUUUGAUGUUCUGAAGGUCACAAAGGCUGUGAUAGAGAAAACUUGCAGUCCUUGUUACUCAAAUGAUUUAGAUUCAGCUCAAAAUCAUUUGAAGAAUGGGCUAGCGGGGAAGAACUUCUUGGUUGUUCUGGAUGAUGUAUGGAGCAGUAAUCGUGAGCUUUGGGAAAGUUUUCUAACACCUUUUGAAUGUGGAAGUGAGGGAGGCAAGAUUCUUGUAACAACACGUCUUGAUACAGUUGCUUCUGUGGUGAAAACUAAACAUAAUGAAGCUCACAAUUUAAGUUUGUUGGAUGAAGAACAAUGCUGGUCGGUGUUUGCAAAUCGAGCAUGGGGUCCUACAGAAUCCCGAGAUCAUUCAGCUUUAGAAGAAAUUGGUAGAAUAAUUGUUAUAAAAUGUAAAGGAUUACCUUUGGCAGCUCAAACAGUUGGAGGGUUAUUGAGAGGGAAAGAUAAUGAAAAAGAUUGGAAUGAUGUUUUGAAUAGUGAAUUCUGGGAACUCUCUGAAGAGGAUAGUGGGAUUCUUCCUGCAUUGAGAAUCAGUUAUUAUCACCUCCCAUCAUAUUUGAAACGCUGCUUUGUUUAUUGUUCUUUGUUUCCGAAGGACUUUGAAUUUGACAGAGAUGAAUUGACAUUAUUGUGGAUGGCAGAAGGUCUUUUGCUACAACCAAAGAGUGGAAACAAUUUGGAAGAAAUUGGUUAUGAAUAUUUUGAUGAUUUGGUUUCGAGAUCAUUUUUUCAACAUUCUAACUCUGCUAAAAAUUCAUUUGUAAUGCACGAUCUCAUGCAUGAUUUAGCAAAGUUCUAUGGUGGAAAGUUCUUUUCUAGUAUCCUUGAUCUCAAGAAUGCAGCAAAGCAUGAUACCAAAACUCGCCACUUGUCAUGGGCUCGCAAGAAUGACGAUGAUUCGCUUAUGAAGAUCAUGGAAGCAUGCAAUAGGUUAAAACAUGUGAGGACAUUGUUGCAACUCAAUUUGCAUAAAGGUCAUGGAACCCGAGAGGGAGAUAGAGUAGCCGUUCCUUGUGACUUACUAGAACAAUUGAAGUGCUUACGAGUUUUGUCAUUUAAUUUUUUUUCAGAUGAUGAAAACUUGUUGCAUCGUUCAAUUGGUGAAUUGAUCCAUUUGCGUUAUUUGGAUCUUUCAUACACAUCCAUCGUGACAUUGCCCGAGUCGUUAAGUUUGUUGUACAACUUACAAACCCUGAAGUUGAAACUUUGUAGAAAUCUUAAAAAGCUUCCCAGAAACAUGCAAAAUCUUGUGAAAUUACAUCAUCUUGAUAUUGGCGGCACUGAUUUGGAAGAGAUGCCAAAAAAGAUGAGCAAAUUAAAAGAUUUGCAAUUUUUAAGUUUCUAUAUUGCGGGCAAACAUGAAGAGAAUGGGAUUGGAGAAUUGGGAGAGCUAGCACAUCUUCAUGGGUCAUUUUGUAUUGAGAAAUUGGAGAAUGUUAAGAAUAGUGGUGAAGCAUGGAAUGCAAGGAUGGAUGAAAAAAUACACCUGAAUGCUUUAUAUUUGAGGUGGUCAUGUUCAUCAUUUGAAGAAAGUGAGGUUUGUGAUUCCCAAAGUGAAAAAGAUGUACUUGACAAAUUACGUCCUCACAAAGACUUGAAGGAGCUAUUCAUCUGGGAUUACAGAGGUACCAUGUUUCCGGAUUGGAUAGGGCAGUCUUGGUACCACAAGAUGACUGAGUUGGAGCUGAGUGGAUGCAGGAAUUGUUGGGUGCUUCCUUCACUUGGACAGUUACCCUCUCUAAUGACAUUGAAGAUUUCAGAUUGUGAUAUGGUGAAGAUGAUUGGUGGAACAUUCUAUAAGGGUGAUGGAACUCAUCAUCAUCAGCAAACACCCUUCCCAUCCCUGAAAUAUCUGUCAUUUUAUUAUAUGAGUUGCUGGGAGGAAUGGGAGUCAUAUGAAUGUGAUGAAGAUGAUGCACCAUUUCCUCAACUUGAGCAUCUAUUGAUAGCGAACUGUCCUAAGUUAAGAGGAGUUUUGCCCUCUUUCCUUCCUGCUUUGAAAGAACUUGUCAUUUCAGGAUGCGAGGAGCUUGGUUGUGAUCUGCCAAGAGCUCCCAUCAUACGCCAAUUAGAAAUAUAUGGCAAACAGGAAGCAAGAAUGCGGGACCUACCACUUUCACUGCAAAAUCUAAGAAUCGAAGGAAACCAACUUGUGGAUUCUCUGUUUGAGGCCAUGACCCACACCCAACCAACCUCUCUCAGUUAUUUAAGAAUCUCAAAUUGCUCAUCAGUCGUAUCAUUUCCAGGGGAUGCUUUGCCCCCUUCGUUGGAAGAUUUGCGCAUAUACGAUUGCAAGAAUGUAGAAUUCCCAAUGCAACACCAACAACAUGAGUCACUAACGUAUCUUACAAUAAAGAACAGCUGUGAUUCACUCACAUCCUUCGCAUUAUCAGCAUUCUCAAAUCUCUAUUAUCUUAGAAUCCAAGAACUUGAAAAUUUGACAUCUCUGGAGGUGUCACAGUCACAGUCCCUCCAAGACUUAUCAAUUUCAGGCUGCCCUAAGCUGGAGAACAUAAUAAGGCUGCCUGCCUGUUUAAGGGUACUAAGAAUCAGAGAAUGUGGGUUGUUGGGUGAAGGCAUAGAGAAGAAGGACCCCCACAUUUGGCCAUCCAUUUCCCACAUCUCCUAUAUUUAUGUUGAUGACAAACGGAUUCGCAAUGACUCAACAUCUUAAAACAGCUUAUUCACCAUUCAAGUUGAUGGCAGGAGACAGUUUCCAUGAGGACUCAACAUCUUAAAGCAGGUCAAACCAAGCAAUGCAUCAUUACAAGAUGUGUCAAGGGUGAAAUACUUGCAUGCAUGUAUAGGAACGGAUCAAACAUAAAGGGGCCAUUCUAAGAUUUAUUUGACUUAUUGGAUGAUUCAAAUGUAAGCUAUGGCCAAUUAUAGAGAUAUCCCAAACUCUCAGCAAAAUGGUACAAUUGGUUCUUGAGAGGCAGAGAAGAAGCAUUUCUAUAAUUGGGGAUAUUGUUGCAGAAGUUUGGAACAGGGGAAUUGCAUGCUUGAGUAGUUGCUGGGAUGUAUAGUUUUUUUUUGAGUUUUUGUGAUGUAAAGUGUUGGUUUGACGAAUCUUGAUGGCAAUGCCGAAGGGAUUCAACCACAACACUAGGCUUUAUGUCUGUUAUUUUGGAUGUUAAUAGGAAAAUUUUAUGUUAUAAACUUCAUUAUUAACUCAUCUAUUCUUAAUAUAUAAAAGUAGAUACAUAAGUUUACCCA